UUUCUUAUCUGAUUUAUUCCAUUCCCAGAUCACUGGACUAACUUAAAUAUGCAUUGAUAUCUACUCAAAAGACCAUUACGUCCAUCUGAAAAUGACUUAUACUAAAGCAUCUCAGGGCCAGUCAAUGGUCAGAGCAUAUUGAUUAUUGUCGGAAACUGAAGAUGAGGGAAAACAUCGAAGGCCUGAUUCAAUCACUGGACUAACUUAAAUAUGCAUUGAUAUCUACUCAAAAGACCAUUACGUCCAUCUGAAAAUGACUUAUACUAAAGCAUCUCAGGGCCAGUCAAUGGUCAGAGCAUAUUGAUUAUUGUCGGAAACUGAAGAUGAGGGAAAACAUCGAAGGCCUGAUUCAAUCAACAAACGAGAUCGACAGAUCAGGUGCAAUAAAACGUCUAUUCUUAGCCUCUGAUAGAGGUGUUGGCUUCCUCCUUUAGAAGUGGUAUAAGAGUUAGUUUGGAAAUGGCUGGAGUGGAUCGAUCAGUUUUAUCAGUAGAAUCAAUGACGAGGCAUAGAAAAGUGGGUCAAUUUCUUCAGGAUUCCUAACAAACAAAACACAAAAUACUUAUCACUUCAAAAAGGGAUACAUUUCUUUAAAAAAAAAAAAAAAUCACAAAUGGAUAAACAAUCCCAGUGUGCCCCCUCCUCAUGGACCUGCUUUGGGUUUACAAUAAUUAUCGAAACCUCCGCUCCAAAUAGUCUAUUCAAAUAUUAAUUUUGGGGCAUUUGAUUUCCAAAUACAAAGGAAAGGCUAUAGGCCACACCCCCUUUUGAUUUUUUUUUCUUCAAAGUAACACUACUAAGAGUGGGGUGAAGAAAAAAGGAAGAAAGUUAAAGACAAGGAAAAAAGGGCGUUUUCGAUAGUUUUGCUGUAAAAUCCGCCUAUCACUUAACUUUUAUGAAAGGAAUGUCAUGUUUUGGUCAUCACCCCCCCCCCUUCCCACAUCGAAAAGAAAAAUCCUGCAUGGUACCGCGCCAUGCACAUAUCCCUUCCUAAAGAACGCUGAUCCAGUCACCGCCCUUUUACAGAUAACUCCAGAGGACUUACUGCAUAAUCCACACAUCUGAGGACAUCCUUCUCUAACCUGCGCGUAACCGUCACAGAAUUGUGGCCACCAUGUAUUAUAACACCGACUGGAUGUGUCUACACAUCGUUCUGUGAUUAUAGGUCGCACCGUAGAAGCCAUCCUUGCAAUUACAUGUACAGGUAGAUCGAUCCAACACACCACAGUUAUCACAGGAAUCAAUAGCACAUUCUACUCAAGGAAUAAAUGAAUAAGAUAAGGGAGAAGAUAAAGGAAUUGAAGAAGGAAAUAAAGGAGGAGUAAACGAAGAAGGGAAAUAAAAAUGAUAAUAAGAAAAUGAUGAUGAUGAUGAUGAUGAUUAUGAUGAUGAUGAUGAUGAUGAUGAUGAUGAUGAAGAGGAAGAAGAAGAAUGUGAAGGAAGAGAGAAAGAUACAAAGAGGAAUAAGAAAAUGGAUUAAAUGACUGGCAACAAAAAUUGUAAAUAAUUUUAUAUUAUGAUGACGAUAUGAUAUAAGUUCAUAUUUGAGUAUCUGACGGCAACUCAAAUUCAUAUUUUUUAUUCUUAACUUAAAAGCAUCUUCACCAGUCAAUGGGAGUUGGUCAGAAAAAAAAGUUUUGUUUAAUACGUAGUUAACUGAUUUGCAUGAUUUGAUGACAGAGAAUCGAAGAUAAUUGAUAAUAACAUAAUUAUGAGACUACUGUUUAGUUCAAAAUAUAUAACAAUAUUUGCAAUUGAGCAUCUUCCAGUCGUAAAAAGGUCAAGAACAUAAAUGAAAGAAUAAAAAAAGAAAGAAUUUGCACUCACCACAGACUUCGUUAUGCUCUGCACAAGGCCCUGAGUGGUGUAAAAAUAAAAGAAAGAAUAAAAAAGAUUAUAUACGAAUUGAAUUUGAUUAGAUUUGAUUUGAGUUGAUUUAUUGUUAUCUUCUGCAUUCAUAUCAUUCGUAUAAUACAUUUUUCACAACAUAACAAACAUGACAUAUUGAUAACCGUUUUGGGCAUGAAUCAUAGAAAAAAAAUACUGAAAAAGAGUCUACCUUUAAAAGUAUAAUUUUUUUUUGCCUACUUUACAUGAUAUACUUCUGAAACUAAUUUUAUUUAAACAUUAAUUUGUUUUAAAAAGUUACAACAAAGAGACAUACUCAUUAGCUACACUGAUCGAAUUAUCACAUGUAAUCAUAAUUAUAUUAGUCGAAUAGUAGAGCUGAGUAUAAAAGCAUGCUGAAGCUUUAUUUUUACCUGUAGGCUGCCCUGUCAGGGCAAAACGCAAUCAUGACCGUUUCAUAAAUACUAUCGAACAAAAUGGUAACUUUGUCGUUUUUAUUUAACUGCCAUGAAAACCUUGAUAGUGAUUGGCUAAAAACUGAUCCUUUGUUACCAUGGUAGUUGCCAUGAUGGCAAAGUUACUGUAGUUGUAAUCGGGCCCCUGAAGUCAGCUUCAAUGAAUAGAUACAGGAAAAACCGAGCCAAAAGGAAAAACGGCGCGACAACAAAAUAAAUCAGGACUCUACUUCGCUUUGCUUCAAUUCCGAGUCGAAAUUCUUCAGAAUGUGUAGAUUUCACAGUGAAAUAAAACUCUUUAUACAAUCUGGUUUAUAAUAUGAAUUGAUCAAGACUUGUAAAGAUUUGAUACUCAAAUAGCAACCUUUGUUAUCAUUACUGUUAAAAUUUGUAAAAUAUCUAUAUUAAUUUCUCUAAAUGAUCCUUCCUUCAUAACAGUAGACAAAGUUUAAACAAUAUUUUUUUACUAAUUGUAUUGAGCCCGACGGUUCGCGCUAUUUUGGUGAAAAUCAUGUUUACGCGAAUAUGGCAUUGUGUCCGAAAAAAAUUAAGGUCAAAAUUAAUCAAUAAAUUGGUAGAUUCUAUCCAAUGAUUUGGAUAGUUUUCACCCCUUUUUUAUGGGGGGGGGGGUCAGACACUUCUUUCCACCAACAAAUUUCCUAAGGUUUCAUACUAUACGUAUGUUGUUGUUUUUUAUUCUAGGAAUUUCAUUUACUAACAGUACCCGAAAUGAAUUUAAUAAAAUGAACCAAACUCCCAUUGGACAUAAUUAUACAAAAUCAGUCCGUUUAUCUUGAUUUUUUUUUUAAUGAGCUAUCAUUCAUUUGGGUUGAUCUUAUAUUCAUGUAAUCAAUUAAUCCUUGUUAUCUUACUGCACAGUCCAUUGUAACAUUGUCCUGAACCGCUGGUACAUUGGGUACAUGGUGUCCCAAUAGAAUACGGUUGUACGCCUUGGUAAUUCCCUCUAAAAAGUAAAAGUAAAAAAAAUAUUUAAAAAAUUAGUAGGCCUAACAUUAGUUUUACCAAUAAUAUCUAGCAUUUGAACCACGCGUUUCAGUAUUUUGUGACAGUUAGGAAAAUGCCUGAUCAACUCUUACUCGACCAAACACAAGCUGGCACUUUCCAAUUACUAAAAACAUGAUUUGAGAUCAUAAUGGUCUCCAUGCACAUUAAAAUAAAUGAUUUUAUAUUAUACAAGAAUGGCAAAAAAAGAAUAGCGUGCCCUGCAUUGUAGUUAUUUUGUAGUUUACUUCAAGGUGAUAUUUAUGUAUGAGUGAAUGUGAUCUAAUGAUAUUUCACUUUUCAUUAAAAAUUUGAUUUUUUUCCUAUAUGCAGUGUAUUGGGUAAUGAAGGGGAAUGCAUAUUUGCUUGGGUAAAAUAUCACAGGCACCAGCUGACAGACACGCUCUGAACAUGGAUUGAAUCCUUUUAUAUUCAUUUUUUUUUAAUUAUUUUUUUAUAGAUUUAUGGGUUAUAAAGGGAGCAUAUACCUGCAGGUCAUGUUUGUUGGGUAAACUAAUUAGGGUACGUGCCUCAUAGCAAAUAUUCAAUUGGCAAUAAUUACGCAUUAUUUUCCGUCAUUUUACUCAAUAAACCUGCGUAUUAUGGAUCCUCACAGUCAUGCCAGUAUUAGGUCAUCAGUUGGGAGUGUUUUAGACAUGAUUUUGUGGCUAAUUUUUCACAGUACACAAUUACACAACAUUUGGCGGCAUUUAAUCAAGUAAAUUAGUAUUUACGCAUUUCAAGAAUUUGAUGGAAAUACUUACGCAGGGGCGUAAUUGCAGACGACAUACCAUGCGUUUCUCAGGGAAGUGCGGCUGAGACUGGGACAGAACAUUCGGCCACAACCGACCCUGUUCGUAGCGGCCCAAACAAUCUACAUGGAAAACAGAAAUAUUGCAUAUUUUUACGUGUGUGUUUAGUUUGUUUUUGUUUUGUGUGUUCAAGAUAGUUCUAAAUUCGACAAGACAAAUGCAGGUGAUUAAUACUUAGAUAACAUGAUUCUGAAUAUAUCCUGCACUAGACUAUUAAGUUGGGUUAAUUUCAUUUUUGCUCAGCGACCUACGAAUGAAUACAAAAACAAAAUAAAUGUAGGCCUAUUGAAAAUGCCCGUCAAAUGACAAAGAACAAUUCAAAGGCUUUGGCGAAAAUUGGUGAACCGGAACAGCAGUUUCAAAGCUGACGGAAAAU